rnacentral:rRNA from 1 species
GACGUAGGGCGCGAGCGUUGUCCGGAUUUAUUGGGCGUAAAGCGCGUGUAGGCGGCCACGCAGGUCCGCUGUGAAAACUCGAGGCUCAACCUCGAGAUGUCGGUGGAAACCGCGUGGCUAGAGUCCGGAAGAGGAGAGUGGAAUUCCCGGUGUAGCGGUGAAAUGCGCAGAUAUCGGGAGGAACACCUAUGGCGAAGGCAGCUCGCUGGGACGUUACUGACGCUGAGACGCGAAAGCGUGGGGAGCAAACAGG